UUCAGGAACUUUUUAUUUUAAAUUCUUUAGUUACUAUUGCAUUAGUAGAGCAUACAUUUUUCUUGGGGGAGAACUUUGGUUGUAUGAUAAAGUAAACAACUUUUCUUAGUAAAGUGUACAUGGAAGAAAUUAUGGAAGUUGUGUAAUGUACCAAAUAUUUUCCUUUAAACCAGCAUAAAUGGCUAUCACUUCAUUAUUUUCAUAUUGAGUUAUUUUUUUCUAAAUUUAAAGACUAAUUAAAAUAUAAUUAUUAGUGAAGGCAUGGUGUUAUUCAGAGUUUAAGUUAAUAAAGAACUGUUUAGUUAAAUACCUAACCUAAAUAAUACAAAAAAAUAUGGUUUUGAUGCUCUCAGAACCAAAUAAUUAACAAUUAUUAUCUUUAGGUUAGAAAUGGACACUGAUUAGUUUAAAAAUAUUUUUCAAAAUUUGGCAAUGUUGUUUGUAACAAAUACAAUGAAAUAUACUGUAAUAUCCAUAUUUAUUUGAUGUUUAGUUUUUAGGCCCCCUCCCAAACUCCUUAAGAAUAAAUAGAAUAUAUUUAAAUGAUAAAUGUAAUUAUUUACUUUAUAUGGAGACAUGUGCCAUUAUAAUACAGUUGGAGGCUAGAGACAGCACAUGUGUUUUGGAUUGGGUGACAGCACUGAUGUCAUUCUGUUCUCAGAACCUAUUUGGCAGAGAAGUUAAAAGAAUUGCAGAACGAGAAGGAAGUCUAGUAUUUUAGCAUAAACAGAUUUUUGUCUCUCAAGGAAAUGUGAUGAAGUGUAUUAUUUUCCUAGAAGCUCCUUAGGCCCAGCUUGUGCCUGUCUUAAAUUUCUCCAUACCUCUAGCUAGUGCUUUGCAUGUUAGUAAGUAUGAAUUGACUUGAGUUAAAUUUAGCUUGGUUGGAUCAGACUACCCUCAAGUCAACUGGCUUCCAAAGGCAUGGAGACAGAGCAUUCCUUUUCCUUAACUAAUGUGUGGAGCUACCUAUUCUAUUCAGCUCUUGGAAAUUUUCUCAGAUAGUCACAAUGAGUGGAAAAUGGCUAGGCAUUAAAAAAGAUCAUUACAAACUUAAUAAGCCAACCUUGUCAUAUUUCUUUCCCUUCAUCCUGGAUUGGAGGAUCAGCUGUUGUGCCUAAAUAUAAACUUUGAGCUACACUACUCUUUAAUGUAUGUCUUUAAUGUGGUGUUUGUCUUUAAUAUAAACUUUGAGCUAUACUACUCUUUAAUGCUUGUCUUUAAUGUGGUGUUUUUACAUAUGGAUGAAGGUACACUCAUUUUCAAGUGUACCUUGAAGCUGAGCUGACUAAGUGGUUAUAAAAGUUCUGCUUAUAUAGAUGUUAGCAGAUAUUGUUACAUGUGCAAAUCCUGAAUAGAAGUGAGAUGUAAUUUCCACUUCGAACAUACAAGUAGCAAAUUUUAGGAGUAGGAGUUUUCUUUUUAGCUUGUGGUGAGAAUAACACCAUGUCCUUUGUUUUCAGGUAGCAGGAGGAAGAAGUGACUGACAGAGCCUGACUCCUACCAUGGAUAAGAUGAGUGUUUCAGUAUCAUCAGAUUGGAGAAACUGACCCAUUAGGCCUUACAAGCUUGGUCUGUAAUGGUCCUAACACUUCUUCCUGGUGCAUUCGUUUUGGCUAUGUCAGGACAAACAGCUUACCCACAUUCCCCCUUGCAGGUAAAAAAAACACAGGGUCCUGGCUGUCAUGACUAGAGAAGCAUUAAAGCCUUCUUCUUAUAAUUAUACACUUAAAGGCAUACUAGGGUCGACACAUGCUUUAUGUUUCCCGGAAAUUGGUUUUCAGUAUUGUUUGAUAUGUUCCUCCUGUGGUAGCUGCAGACGCCUUAUCAGGCCGAAGAGUUUGGUCAUGGUACUUCCAUUUUAUACAUGAGAAGACUGGACACAACGUCAUAGCCAAAGUUAUUUUGUUACUUUGUGUAGGCAGUACCUUUUACUUCAUAGACACUCAUACAAUACUUUUAAAUUUCUCUAUCUAUUGUAAAUCAAGGUUAUUUUGAAACACAGAAGUGCUGAGGUCUGUUCUCAGUACCAUUUGUGAGAAAGAAUGCAACUCCUCAUUUUAUGAAUAAUCUUAAAGAAAGAUAUAUUAAAUGCUUAACUAUGUAUGUUGCUGCGCUCAGUCUGUACUUUCCUAGAAUCAAGACAUUCAGUAAGUUUUUCUACUGUUUAUGACUUUAUAACAAAUUACAAUUUAAUGUUGAUUUGAAGGUACAGAAGCAAUCAGACAAAUCCAGAUUUCUAGAAAAAUGAUUCGUUUAUGAUUAAAAUGAGAAAGGAUUUGGAUUCCAGCAUGUAUAGGGGUGCUGUGGAUACCUAUAGCUGUGGUAAAUAAAUGAAAACAAAAUUGAAUACAUUAUUAUUCACUGAGUUUAACUGAAUAGAACUUAUUAGCUUAAAACCUGGUUUUGUAAGAGUGCUCUCAUUUUAAUGUGCUAAUUUCAAAGAUAUUAUUACUAAGUGCUUGUGAUAAUAGUGUUUGAAUCAAUCUGACAGUGCUCUCUAAAUAUUUGAAUAUCAUCCUUCAUAAAUGUAUAAUAUGCCAUAUACCAUUUACUUCUUAUUUACUUAUUCUUAAAGCAUAUCUACACAAAACCCACAUGAAAAUACAGGUAUUUAUAUGGAUGUUUAACC